CCCUUAGAUGUUCUGGGCGGCUCGCGCACUACAAUGGCGCUUUCAGCGAGUUCCUAUGUUGAAUUUUCCUUGGUAUUCUUGGAAGCGGCGUCUUGACUUGGGAUAGAUCCUUGUAAUUGUUGGUUUUGAACGAGGAAUUCCUUGUAAUCGCGGUUGAUCAGCUCGCGUUGAAUACGUCCCUGCCCUUUGUACACACCGCCCGUCGCUCCUACCGAUGAAUCGUCCGGUGAAGUUCACAGAGUGGCGGUUCGUGGAGUUGCUCGCGAAGUGAAAUGGACCUCACGAUUUAGAGGAAGGAGAAGUCGUAACA
rnacentral:rRNA from 1 species